rnacentral:rRNA from 1 species
AGUCGAGCGGUAGAGAGGUGCUUGCACCUCUUGAGAGCGGCGGACGGGUGAGUAAUGCCUAGGAAUCUGCCUGGUAGUGGGGGAUAACGCUCGGAAACGGACGCUAAUACCGCAUACGUCCUACGGGAGAAAGCAGGGGACCUUCGGGCCUUGCGCUAUCAGAUGAGCCUAGGUCGGAUUAGCUAGUUGGUGGGGUAAUGGCUCACCAAGGCGACGAUCCGUAACUGGUCUGAGAGGAUGAUCAGUCACACUGGAACUGAGACACGGUCCAGACUCCUACGGGAGGCAGCAGUGGGGAAUAUUGGACAAUGGGCGAAAGCCUGAUCCAGCCAUGCCGCGUGUGUGAAGAAGGUCUUCGGAUUGUAAAGCACUUUAAGUUGGGAGGAAGGGCAUUAACCUAAUACGUUAGUGUUUUGACGUUACCGACAGAAUAAGCACCGGCU